rnacentral:lncRNA from 1 species
AUGAGCAGUGCGCCUCAGAGAAAAAAUUUCGCUGCUAUUUUGAAACGCUCCCAAGAUUUCAUGUGAUCAUUUUUACAGAAGUAAAUACUCAAGACUCCACCUAUGACCAAACGGAAAAGACGAAAGUAGGAAACGAUGGCGCUUAUCAAGCGAGUGCACCAAAAAACCCACUGACGGCCGUACUCCCAUCACGUAUCGUAUUCAAGUGGUCGAUGAACCUUUCUUCAAGGAGGCUGCCAAUUUCAUGAUCGAGAAUUUUCUUCCAACGGAAAAUAUAUGCUCAUCUAUCGGUUUGUUAUCGGAAAACGGAGGUAUUGAAUCGGCGCGUGUUUUUUGGGAGAAGCAAGUUCUAAAGGGAUUUCCUUGGCUGCAUUUCUAGAGGAAAAAGAUGGGAGCAGAGGGAAAAUGAUCAGCUGUAACGUUUUGGAAGUAGAGAGAAAAAAUCAAGAGGAUGAGUCUAUGAAGACGAUCGAGCUUUCGGACAAAUUGAAGAACGUAGUCCGGACGAUUGGGGAGACAGAGGCAAAAGCGGACGUCUUUGCGCUGUACAAUUUCGAGGCGUUCGUCCACGGGUUAGGCCUUUCGGUGUCUACUGAUUUCGAGAGGCGAGGCAUCGGAGCCGAGAUGCUGAUGGCGAGGGCAGAGAUCUGCAAACCGACGGACACUCCGGUCAGCGCUACCAUAUUCACCGGAGGCGCAUCACAGAGGCUCGCUGAGAGGUGCGGAUUCGAGACCAUCGCCGAAACGGAUCUCACGACUCACUGCAUCGACGGACAGAUCGCCUACCGCGAACCUAAAUGGCCUAUCAUUAAGUGGAUGGCAAAACGCUAUUUUUAAGUAUAAACCUAGGAAACGGUUGUCGAUGGAGUCGUCAAAUGGCGUACAGUGCAACCAGAGACAAGAGAUCCUCCACUGGCCUCUUGGCGACAGAUGGAAGCUUUUUUUUCAUGGAUUCAUCAAUUCCUAAUGGACAAUUAUAAGGGAAAAAACAGUCAUGAACCUAAUUUCGGCUGUUGAUCUACCUACAUAGUGGAUGAUGAGCUUCGGGUGACGUCAUGAGCCAAACAAGUUUCUCAAACUUCGGCCAUUUUCGGCUUGUUUGUAAAACAAAACUGCCGACACGUUGUUGAACGUCAACCUUGUAGGUAAGUCAACAGGAGAAUGAAGACAAGCGGGAAAGCUCUAAUACGUGGGUAUUAGAGAAGCGCUCAGCGGUGAGCUUUCAUAUAUCGACGGUGAAACUACCAAACCACGUAUCUCGGUUUGCGACGUCGCAGACUUCCUGUCAUACUUUAUUUUUUAAAUGAAAAACUACUUACGUCUAGUCCUGAAAAUUUCUGUGAUUUUUCCUCUUCGUGCGGAGAAAAUUCUGUGAAAAUUUCAAGGAAUGAUAUUGAUUUGGUCUACUUCAAAAAAUAAAAUGCGAGCGUAGAUUUUUAAACACCGCAAACGAGAUACGUGGUUUGGUAGUUUCACCGUCGAUAUAUUAGAUUAAGAUGAAGAGAAAAAGUG